GGGCCGGCAGACAGGCCAUCCAUCAUCCGCCCUCCUCCCGCGGAGCGCCGCAGCCGCCGCGGCCAAUCCGGCGGCAGGUGGGGCCGCACCUGCGCGACAGCCCGCCGCUUCCCUCCGCUCCCUUCGCCGCGCCUCGCGUGCUAGCGGUGCCCUUGUGAGCCACUGCGUUCUCCAAGGCCAGAACGGGACAGUUGACGAUGGUCGUACUUCUCCAUGUUCUGAGACCAGUUUAAACAAAAACAAAAACCAGACAACAACCUUGCAAGGGAAAGAAUUCAGAGUAAAUAAACAGUCUUUUUCUGGGAAGUAAAAUAUUUCCCUAAGAUGGAGAAAUUGAGAUGAGAGCUCAUCCACAAGAUUACCCAUCAAUGAGCACCAAUAGCAACCAAAUCCACUAGAAGACUGGGAGCUUUUAAGUCAAGAAACUUACAUCAGUAUCAUCAUUCCAAGAAGCGGUAUCCAAGCUGUUUUAUCGAAAGUGCGCAUGGGAGAUAAGACUCUGAGAAUUUAUAGAAACAAACAUUAGAAGGCAGGAAUGUGGAGAGAAGAAAGCUACCUGACAAGGGAAUCUCAGGAUACAAGGAAAACACCAAGGAAUGUAAAUCUCUGUUUACCACAAGCCCUCUGUCUCCACAAGUUCUGUGUCCAGAACUGAAGGCAGAUCCAAAUACAAUAUUCAUGGGAUGCAAAUUCCCAUGUAUGCCAAGAGAUAACUGCUUUAUUGGAGGCCUAGUGGGGAACUGAAACUCCCACUCCUGCUUAGCAGGAAUGAGAAGCCCCCUUUCAGAGGUCAACAGAAGCUGAGUUAAGAAACCUGAACUUUUACCCUACCUGGCAGUAAUGAAGCGACACCCACCUUCGUCUGUGAGGAUGGUGUGAGAUGAAGGUAGCUAAAACAAAAGGUUUAAAUAAGAUUCAGAGUCUCAUCAUAUUGAAAUGUCCAUAUUUCAGUGGAAAAUUACUCAUCAUACAAAAACAAGAAAGAACUAAAACUAAGUGAGAAAAGAUAAUAAAUAUAUGCCAACAUCAAGAUGACACAAAUGUUAGAAUUAUCUGGCAAAGCUUGUAAAGCAGCCAUCAUAAAAAUACUCCAAUGAACAAUUAAAACAUUCUUGUAGCUAAUGAAAAUUUAUUUGGAAAGCUUCAACAAAGAAAUAGGAAGUCAUAACCAAAAAUAGAAGAUAAAAGAGUCAAAUGGAAAAUUUUGAACUGAAGAAUACAAUAACCAAUAUAAAAAACUCAAUGCAUGGGCAGAAUGGAGGAGACAGAGGAAAUAUUGGUGAACUGGAGGAAACAAUAUAAAUUGACCAUCUAUACAACAGAGAGAAGAUAGAGUGAAAAAAAGAUGAAAGGAACCUCAAAGACCUUCGAGAUUAUAGCAAAAAAAACCAAAAUAAAACAAAACCAAAAACCAACAAACAGACAGACAAAAAAUUAACCUUUGCAUUCCCUGAGUCCUAGAAGACCGGAAGAUGGCAGACCUGAAAAACAUUCUAAGAAAUAAUGGCUGAAAUGUGUUUAAAUUUAGCCAAAGACAUAAAUAUACAGAUUUAAGAAACUGAGUGAAUCCCAAAUAGGAUAAACUCACAGAAAUUCAUAGCAAGACACUCAUAGUCAAACUUUUGAGAACUGAAGACAAAAAAGAAAAACAAAAAGUCAAUCCAGAUGUCCUUCAAGGGGAAGAUGAUUAAACCAACCGUGAUACAUGCAUGCUAAUAGAAAAAAAACUACUGAUGCCUGGAACCACCUGGAUGAAUCUCUAAAGAAUUAUGGAGAGUGACAAAAAUAAUUUUAAAAUGUUACAUAGUAUAUUGUUUUAUUUAUAUAACAACAUGAUUGAAAUAACAAGAUCAUAGAAAUGGAGACUCAUUAGGGGUUAAGGAGGGGGAAGGAUAAGAAGGAAGAGGGAGUGGCCAUAAAAGGCAGCACGAAGUAUCCCUGUGCCGAUAGAAAUAUUUCUUAUCUUGACAGUAGCAAUGUCAAUAUCCUGUUUGUUACACUACAGUUUUGCAAGAUGUUAGCAUUGGAAGGAACUGGGUAAAAGAUCACUCUGCGUUCUCUCUUACAACUGCAAAUAAAUCCACAAUUAUCCUAAAAUAGAAAGUUUAAUUUACAAAAACAUUUCUGCAAGCCUUGUAACUCAGUGGCUACAUAACUCUGGACUUAGACCCAAAGAAUUUUGACUGUCACUUUAAUCUCAUGUAACCCUGGACAAGUAUUCAGCCAGUCUGAGCCUACUUUCUUGUCAGUUAAAUGGGCAUAAUGAUAGCUACCCUACUUAUUAAUAUUUCACCAACUGUAGUCAGGAUGAAAUAAAAAUGAAAUAAUGAUCAGGAA
ensembl:lncRNA LETR1 lymphatic endothelial transcriptional regulator lncRNA 1